rnacentral:rRNA from 1 species
CCUACGGGUGGCAGCAGUGAGGAAUAUUGGUCAAUGGCCGGAAGGCUGAACCAGCCAUGCCGCGUGAAGGUCAGUGCACUAUGGGCGUUAAACUUCUUUUGUGCGGGAGCAAUAAUGGUCACGUGUGGCCAGACGAGAGUACCGUACGAAUAAGCAUCGGAUAACUCCGUGCAAGCAGCCGCGGUAAUACGGGGGAUGCAAGCGUUAGACGGAUUUAUUGGGGUUAAAGGGUGCGUAGGCUGGUAGGUAAGGCAGCGGUGAAAUGCCCCCGCUCAACGGGGUGAAGUGCCAUUGAUACUGCCUUGCUGGAAUGCUGAUGCCGUGGGAGGAAUGUGUGGUGUAGCGGUGAAAUGCAUAGAUAUCACACAGAACACCGAUUGCGAAGGCAUCUCACGAAUCCGCGAUUGACGCUGAUGCACGAAAGCGUGGGUAUCAAACAGGAUUAGAUACCCCAGUAGUC